UUCACCUGUGAUGUCACAAGUGUUGUCCUCCCUGCAAAUGCCUCUCAGAUAGACCUUCAGUACCUCUACGGUUUACUAAUUGGCCUCUAAUUCAGAGUAAACAGCCACUUGGGAGUGAGAAGAAAGAGGAUGAAGAGAUCAGAGAUGGGGAGAAAGAAGUUGGCCUUCUGUAUUUGUAUAAAAAAGGAAGAAAAACUUGGUCAAUUGGAAAGCUCAGUGAGCCCUGUUUAGGGGUUGAGUGGGUUUGCUGAAGAGAUAUCCUUUAUCUGAGCAUUCAACAUAUGGGAAUCAGGAACUGAGAGCCUCCCAGAAACAUCUCGACAUCCCUGCUUCUUAUGGUUCCUGGAAGUCAGAGAGUUUAUAUCAUUAAUUUCUUUAUUCCAAAAGCCAGGUGUUGGAAAGGCCCCAGUUGUUUCCUGAGAACUCAUAGCUUUUAUAAUUUUUCCCAGAAGAGAAAGGUCCUAAGGAAGAAGGGAAAGACAAGUAUUGUGUCCUCAGCUCUGAGUUCACUCUUACUUGCUUGGGAAUCCUAUACUGCAGUUUGAGUCUGACACUGAUAUCUGGGAGAGUGAAGUGCUUCUAUUUGAGACUUCAUCAUCUCAGUCUUUCCACUAGUAUUACUCUGACUACCAUUCUCGGAGAAUGACCCCUUAAAAUUCUGAGUCAAUAGAACCUGAUGUUUGGCCUGAAGAAAGAAUAAUGGUAAAACAUCCAAAACCCUCAAGUCUUUUCCGAGACCACAGGAAGGUCGAUAUUAGAGAACUGAUAUCUAAUAGAACUACAAAACUGC